GAUGAACGCUGGCGGCGUGCCUAAUACAUGCAAGUCGAGCGAACGGACGAGAAGCUUGCUUCUCUGAUGUUAGCGGCGGACGGGUGAGUAACACGUGGAUAACCUACCUAUAAGACUGGGAUAAAUUCGGGACACCGACGCUAAUACCGGAUAAUAUUUUGAACGGCAUGGUUCAAAAGUGAAAGACGGUCUUGCUGUCACUUAUAGAUGGAUCCGCGCUGCAUUAGCUAGUUGGUAAGGUAACGGCUUACCAAGGCAACGAUGCAUAGCCGACCUGAGAGGGGGAUCGGCCACACUGGAACUGAGACACGGUCCAGACUCCUACGGGAGGAAGCAGUAGGGAAUCUUCCGCAAUGAGCGAAAGCCUGACGGAGAAACGCCGCGUGAGUGAUGAAGGUCUUCGGAUCGUAAAACUCUGUUAUUAGGGAAGAACAUAUGUGUAAGUAACUGUGCACAUCUUGACGGUACCUAAUAAGAAAGCCACGGCUAACUACGU
rnacentral:rRNA from 1 species